rnacentral:rRNA from 1 species
CCUACGGGAGGCAGCAGUGAGGAAUAUUGGUCAAUGGCCGGAAGGCUGAACCAGCCAUGCCGCGUGAAGGUCAGUGCCCUAUGGGCGUUAAACUUCUUUUGUGCGGGAGCAAUAAUGGUCACGUGUGGCAAGACGAGCGUACCGUCCGAAUAAGCAUCGGCUAACUCCGUUCCAGCAGCCGCGGUAAUACGGGGGAUGCAAGCGUUAUCCGGAUUUAUUGGGUGUAAAGGGUGCGUAGGCUGGGAGGUAAGUCAGCGGUGAAAUGCCCCCGCUCAACGGGGUGAAGUGCCAUUGAUACUGCCUUGCUGGAAUGCUGAUGCCGUGGGAGGAAUGUGUGGUGUAGCGGUGAAAUGCAUAGAUAUCACACAGAACACCGAUUGCGAAGGCAUCUCACGAAUCCGCGAUUGACGCUGAUGCACGAAAGCGUGGGUAGCAAACAGGAUUAGAUACCCGGGUAGUC